GAGAGCUGUGCUAACAGGUAGCCUUUACAUUAGAAGGCAUGUGAAAGCACUCAGCCGCCGCGGAUUCACUCAAAAUCUGCUGUCUUUGAAACCUCAAGGCCUAUCGAGGCACUCAACCUCUUUCCAUUGGGUGUUGAGAUAGCAACAGUUUGGAGAGUGGAAGGGAAAGCUCUUCUGGAGGCAGAUUAGCUGAUGGCAGUGAUAUAUGGGGCAAGAAUCUGGUGAGCCAAGAAAACACGGGAAGUUGGAAGGCAUGUCCAGUGAAAAGGGAUUUUGUUCCCAGGAGACACAGACUUUGGCCCUAAGCAGCAGCUACAUGGUUCAACUUCAGGAAAAAGAAAAAUAAACAUAAAAAAACCCCACCCCACUUUACAAACAUCUGCUAAUUAGUCCUCAUAACCC